rnacentral:rRNA from 1 species
UUGCCUACGGGAGGCAGCAGUUAGGAAUAUUCGUCAAUGGGGGAAACCCUGAACGAGCAAUGCCGCGUGAAGGAUGACGGUCCUAUGGAUUGUAAACUUCUGUUGUUAGGGAAGAACGACCUAAGUAGGAAAUGACUUAGGAGUGACGGUACCUUUCAAGAAAGCUCCGGCUAACUACGUGCCAGCAGCCGCGGUAAUACGUAGGGAGCGAGCGUUAUCCGGAUUUAUUGGGUUUAAAGGGUGCGCAGGCGGUCUGUUAAGUCAGCGGUCAAAGCCCGGGGCUCAACCCCGGCCCGCCGUUGAAA